rnacentral:rRNA from 1 species
GGGGAAUAUUGGACAAUGGGGGCAACCCUGAUCCAGCAACGCCGCGUGGGGGAUGAAGGUCUUCGGAUCGUAAACCCCUGUUGAGAGGGAAGAAGGCUUGAAGGCGAACAGUCUUCAAGUUUGACGGUACCUCGAGAGGAAGCGCCGGCUAACUCCGUGCCAGCAGCCGCGGUAAUACAGAGGGUGCGAGCGUUGUCCGGAAUCACUGGGCGUAAAGGGCGCGUAGGCGGCCGGGUAAGUAGAGGGUGAAAUCUCGUGGCUCAACCGCGAGGCUGCCUUCUAGACUGUCUGGCUUGAGCACGGUAGAGGCUGGUGGAAUUCCCGGUGUAGCGGUGGAAUGCGUAGAGAUCGGGAGGAACAUCGGUGGCGAAGGCGGCCAGCUGGGCCGUUGCUGACGCUGAGGCGCGAAAGCGUGGGGAGCAA